AUGUCGGCAAUCCGCGCCGCUUAUCAGGACGAUGGUGCCCAGUAUUACCCUUACAACACACGAUUGGAGACCUGGGAGGAUCCCACUCCUGGAUCGUCGACGUCAACACAAACUCUUGAAGAAAUGACCGCUGCCUGCAUAGCAGCCACCAGGCUUAGGAAUAGCCUCCGGCCCAAGAGUCCAACCCGUGCGGAUCUGUGGAGACGCAAGCAAGAGCGUGAACGCAAGACCUUGGUUUCGGCGCUCAACGCCUACGCCAAGCAAAACAAUAUGCAGCCAGAUGAGCUGGAGUUUGUGGAAGUGAAAGGGAGGACUCAAAUUCUGGAACGCUCAACAGAAUAUCUGCACUUUAACUUUCUAGUGAAACAAAUGGAUGGCAUAUCAAAGUUAUUUUUUGCUGAGAUAAAUGCCUACUGUAGGGGGGAGAAGGAUGUUUAUCUAUGCACCCCUUUGGAACAGAGUGACUAUGGCCCUUGUUUCGGGUGCAGAGAUAGAGACCUUAAGCACCCCACUAGUGGUGCGUAUUUGGCCGGUCGCACGUAUCCACAUUACUGCUGCGAGGAGAUUGACAGUGAUGAUGAUGAUUAUAUGUAA
rnacentral:rRNA from 1 species